UCCGGUUUGUCACCGGCAGUAUCCCAUGAGUCCCCAACUAAAUGCUGGCAACAUAGGACAGGGGUUGCGCUCGUUAUAGGACUUAACCUGACACCUCACGGCACGAGCUGACGACAACCAUGCAGCACCUUGUAACUUGCCCGAAGGAAAAGCUGUUUCCAGCCCUGUCAAGCUACAUUUAAGCCCUGGUAAGGUUCCUCGCGUAUCAUCGAAUUAAACCACAUGCUCCACCGCUUGUGCGGGCCCCCGUCAAUUCCUUUGAGUUUCAUUCUUGCGAACGUACUCCCCAGGUGGGGAUGACGUACUUGCUAGGUAA
rnacentral:misc_RNA from 1 species